UGAGGAAUUUUCCGCAAUGGGCGAAAGCCUGACGGAGCAAUACCGCGUGAAGGAAGACGGCCCGUGGGUCUUAAACUUCUUUUCUCAAGGAAGAACGAAUGACGGUACUUGAGGAAUAAGCACCGGCUAACUCUGUGCCAGCAGCCGCGGUAAUACAGAGGGUGCAAGCAUUGUCCGGAAUGAUUGGGCGUAAAGCGUCUGUAGGUGGUUUUUAAAGUCGACUGUCAAAUCCCAGAGCUCAACUUUGGCCCGGCAGUCGAGCACUUAAAAGCUAGAGUAUGGUAGGGGUAGAGGGAAUUCCUUGUGGAGCGGUGAAAUGCACAGAGAUAAGGAAGAACACCAGUGGCGAAGGCGCUCUACUGGGCCAUGACUGACACUGAGAGACGAUAGCUGGGGGAGC
rnacentral:rRNA from 1 species